CUGAAGGAGAGAUAGGUGUGAUCCUCCAUCGGACUCCACUAAAGAACAGUCUCUGCCUCCUAAAUAGGAGCUACAAACCACCAGAUUUCAUUAUGUGGAACCUGAGAGGAAUGAUCGCCACCAACCCCUUUGUAUUUGUGUGGGUGUUAUUGCAAAACUUCCAAUUUGUGACUGUAAUGAACCUUCAAUCCCCAACCUCACAAGGAGUCGUAGAUGGAGCUCUAGCAACAUCAUUAGAGGAUGGACAAGCUUCUGGAGUUCUCAAGACCUUAACAAAGAUUGUUUGGAACAAUUGAAUUUUAGGGUUGAAAUAUUUGCUGAAAAACAUAAAGACAAUUUAACUGGUUUUUGGAGGGUCAAUCAGGGUAAUAAAAUGAAAUUGGAAUGUAAGUGACUUGGGGAAAAUGGACUGUAGGUCUGGUGGGAGAAGGUAUUUUUGUGUCUACAACAUUUGUUAAUCCUAUUCACACUAUUAUUGGCGAUAACUAUAAUAUAACCAAGGUUAUAUUUGAACAGCAAAUUGAAGAAGGGAUUAAUUGGAGAGUUACAGCUUCCUACUUUGGUGGAGGGAUUGAAGUGUACUUAAGAAAAGAUCAAAAAAGGGAAACAACUACUUUGCACCUUUGAUCUAUUCAACUUUAAUCACUACACCAAAUAUGAAGCAUUAUGACUAUACUCCAGUGUGUGAGGGGAAAAUGGUUGUUUCUAGGGUCCAUUUCAAAUAAGUUCAAUCAAGCCACUUUCAGUAUUGAGGGAUGCCACAUUCAAAUUUAUCAAAUUUAUUCAAAUUUAUCACAUGGAGGAUUAAAAAAAUAGAUUGGCUAGUUUCCACACAAUACCAAAAUUGUUCCAGAAUUACUACCACUAUGGAAAAAGCAUUAGUUAAAUGGGCAGAAGGUACUCGGAGAAGGACUAGGAGGGAUAUUGUGGAUAAAGAUUUGGGAGGUGUGGGAACAGGGUUAGGGGUAGUAAACUUCAUUGACAUAUCCAGCUUAACAACAACCUUAUUGUCUCAGGGAAUGUUAAAUGCAAAAGGGAUUCAUACACAACAAAUGAUAAACAUCCUGGUAGAGACACAGACAGUAAUUUACGUUCAGGGUCCUGCCAUUCAACAUACAGAGGAAAUACUGAUACGAGUAAUUAGUAGGUUAAGGGAAGUAUCCUGGGAUUUUGUGUGUAUUUCCAUGCAAACAGAAUUAUCAACUGACUUUAAAUUAAUAGCUCAGGCUAUGGAAAAUAGCCAUACACCUUUGGGAGGGUGGGGGCAGUCUUUUGUUAAUUAUGGUUAAACAGUUGGUUAGGUUGCAGGGAAAAUGUAUGCAGGGCUACUUCACUUGUGCCCAUUAGUGGUACCUAUCAGAAUGUGUAUCAUUUGUUUUCACUAGGAACACCUGUCACAUAGGGGCAUAUUUAUUAAAGUCUGGCGGACCUGAUCCGACAGUGCGGAUUAGGUCCGCCAGACUUCGCUGAAUACGGCGAGCAAUACGCUCACCGUAUCCUGCAGGCUCGCCAGAAACACGGGGCAUCAAGCUCCAUUCAGAGCUUGAUACAUAUGCCCCAAAAUCUCAUAUUUUACAUCAUGAGUUAAAGUUCCCAAAUUUUAUAUGGAAUGGUUCCCAUAUGACCAGGUAGACAUGUCUGGAUGCAUAAGGUUUCCUUCUAAAGUUUUAUGUCUACCUAACCAGGCAAGAAUACUUUUUGAUUCCUGCUGGCAUAAUCACUGAUAUUGCAAUGGUUUUGUGGAGAAAGUUAUUCCCCAAGAUAUCAUUUUUUCAUUAGGACAAGGAAAGGUGUGUUUUGUUUCUUUGAAGCCUAAAGAUGAGGUGCAUGUAUGGUUUGACAAGUGUAAUGCAAGGGAACAAAUCACACCAUGGAUUUAUUGUAUUACUGGGUACCCUGUGAAGAUAAGUUCACUACAGUUUAACUUCACUGUCCCACAGUUACUUACAUAUAACGCUACCUUGGGGGCUCCACUCAUAACACCAAUAUUAGUAGAUGAUGCACCUUGGCAAAAAUAGAUAACCUUAUUGCAAAAAGAUUCUGUGUUACUGGAGCAUCUUAAAAAUUUUAAACAACGUGUUCAUGUAAAUUUCUACCAUCAGGAAAAGGAACUACAAAGAAUUAAACAUACUUUUACAGAGAUGUCAGUGUAGGCUGACCAUACGUCCCGUUUUGAAAGGGACAGUACCGUUAUUUUAUGUUUUUUCCCCUGUCCCGCCGUUUCUUUAUUAAUAGUAAUUUUGUCCCAUUUUGAGGGUUAUCAGACCGUGCGGGCAGCGCAAGUGUAAUUUUUUAUGGCACACACAACACUUAAAAAAAAUUUAAACUCACCGCCGGCGGGGAGGGCAGUUUUUUAAAAAACUAUUUUUUUUUUUUAACUGCAGCCGGGUUGGGGUUGGGUGGCCGUGCCCACAUGUUCCACAGCAUGCAGUCUUCAUGCAGUCUUAGCAGUCUAUGCCGCCCGCGCUCUUCAAAAUUAGGGGCGUGUCAUUGAUAGGUGCCUAUAAUGAGUCAGUGACAGCAGGUCAGUACUCAGUCGUGAGCUGUCAGACUGAGCCUAGGAGGGAGACUGGUCACUGAUCAGUGUGAGGGAAGUUAGAUUACUAGCUAGCUCAGCUGCAGUAGUGCCAAUACUUUACUAGUAACUUACACUCAGGACAGGCUCAGCACAGGGGCCGGCAGGAGUCGGACUAAAAAUAUCUUAGAUUCAGUCAGUCAUCAUCUGGAUCAUCCGAAUUAUAGGCUGACCUGACCAUAGGCUGACCUGACCAUCACCAGACACCAGAGAGAUCAUUCUUGUUGCUAUCUUCUUCUUGUUUGUGUCACAGACGUGUGAAGUGAACAUACAAACUAGUGUUAUGGUCUGGUCUGGAAGUAGAUCAAUUCAACUGUCUACAGUCUAUGCUCUGAACUUCAGCUUCUGCAAGAAUUGUGCACGGUCAAGGUAAGACCAGUGCCUGUGCCUGGCAAUCAAUUAAAUUAAAUUAAUUGUCAUUUAUUAUAUCAUAUGCUUAUUAUUAUUAUUAUUAUUAUGCUGCUGCAGUGCUGGUUGUAGUACGGACGUUAUAAAAUAACAGUUAUUAUCAAGUAACUAGGUAGUUCCACAUUUUUAUCAGUUCUUCCACUAUUUACAUGUGUAACAAUGAUUUUUGGCAACUCAGCUAAAAAAAAUCUACAACUACUAUCCAGAUAUUCAAACCAAACGCACGUUCAGAGGCUUUUACCCUUUAAAAUCAGUUAACAUGGGGGAAUUUGCCUUGACAACAUAGGAUAAUCUCACUUUUUUAAAGCAUGUUUGUUGUUUGUAUGAUAAAUUAAAUUGUAAUACUUUUGUUCACAAGCUUCAGAAUCAGCUCUUCUUAUUAUAUAAGCAUGUUCUCUUUGAUUUUCUUUUGUUUAAACAACAAAUUUGACUUGGGUAUCCAUCUGUUUAAAAGUGACAAUGAGUCUGAGACAAGUUCCAUAAUAUAUAUUAAUAUUAAUGAAUAUUGCGUGGGGGGGCAUGAUGGAUGUGAUCUAAUGGAGGGAACCUUCGUCUUUAGAAUAGUUAUUGGAUAAGUAAUUUUAUUUCCCUUAACAACAGUUAUAAUAAAAAGCAUUUUAUAGGGUGUCUUUAUAAGUCAGAAAAUUUGUGCUUUAUUUUUAUAUAGAUUUGACAAUUUUCUGUGUGCAUCAAAUUUAAAGUAAAAAUAAUUUCAUAUACAUGAUACAUCAGCCCAUGGAGUAUGAGAAGUUUUAUUAUAUGGUGUUGAAAGACCGAAAUUUGCUGUGUAAAUUUGUUUCAUCAGACAAAUAUUCAUGGUACAAUCAUGAUGAAAUGCAGUCCCCCUCUAGCUCUACGUCUACCUAAAAUUUUUUGUAUGAGUUAUUUUGUCACUGAAGGAUAAUUGUUGGCUCAAUAGUUUAAAUUCAUGUCAUAAAAGUUAACUUUUGUUAAAAUCUUACUUUUUCCAUAUAAAUAAAGAUAAUAACCCUG